UACGUAGGGAGCAAGCGUUGUUCGGAUUUACUGGGCGUAAAGGGCGCGUAGGCGGCGCGGUAAGUCACUUGUGAAAUCUCUGAGCUUAACUCAGAACGGCCAAGUGAUACUGCAGUGCUAGAGUGCAGAAGGGGCAAUCGGAAUUCCAGGUGUAGCGGUGAAAUGCGUAGAUAUCUGGAGGAAUACCGGUGGCGAAGGCGGCAUCCUGGACCGACAUUGACGCUGAACGGCGAAAGCUAGGGGAGCAAACGGG
rnacentral:rRNA from 1 species